UUAAAGUAUAUAUUGAAUGAGAAUGAUUGAUGAUGGAUGAAUGUAUGAUGGAAUGAAUUGAAUGAUUUAAAUAUGUAUGUAAACUGAUACUGUAGCUAGGAUCAAGAAUUGAUGAAACGAUGAUCCACAGUUUGAAUUAGUGAUUGGAAGACUGAAGUGUUGCGAAAGCGGAGUUGCAGCGAUUACAGUUUGAGUAGUCAAACUGUAAGUAUAUGUAUUUGCAGAUUUAGAGUAUGAGAACUUAAUUACUAAUGAGGUUUAGGUUGGUUUAUAUAGAUGAGAAAACACCCAACGAGUAUGCUGAUUGGAUGUAUUAAUGGGAUGUAAUAAAUGGA
rnacentral:lncRNA from 1 species